AUAUAACAAAGUUUUGGUACAUUGCAAUACAACUAUGCAGACAUUGAAGAUCUUAUAAAACAAGAGGGUAGUUUCAUGAAUGACAAAUUUUCAAAACACACAUCUGAUUAUGCCAUUAAUUUCCUCCUCCCUAGUCUAGGACCUGUUGUUGUUCACUUCUUGUGGGUGUCAGGUCAUGGCACAUUCUGUCUCAGAAAGCCCCUCCUCAAUAAACCUUCUUUGAUAACUCUGUCCCACUGUCCCUUAACAGGGUGGAGAGACACAACCCCUGACUUCUGUCUUUCUCCUUGCCACGCCUGGAAAUCUGCUUAUUACAGCAUUGGGAUUGGAUGAUUCCCAAACUAGAAUUCAGUCCAUUGACCAUGACUCAGCAGGCAAAGUGACAAUUGUUGAGUGGAUGUUUGAUCUACAUAGGAUGAUAGCUGUUCAGAGUGGCCUCCUCACUGCUAUACAGACACCUCUGGACUUGUCCUGAAGGUAGACUUUUAAAUACAUUUCUGGAAUUUUCUUUCUUCGUUUUCACUAACUCCAUUCUUAUUCCUAGGUAAUUCAAAUAAACUUGGUUAUUUGUGAUUUCUCAAUUCAUGGCAGAUUAAAAGAAAAAUCAGAAUAUGGCAUUCUUUAGAAGGGGAACUUAAGCAUGAACAUUUACUUUUGUUCCCUUUGAAGGUAGAGAGGGAGGGGGAAGUCAUCUGGAAGGAGGAACAAUCUUCCCUGAUCACAUGAAGUGGGUUCUCAUGUGAUGCAAUAUCCCCACAGGAGGAAACCAAGGGGAGGGGCUGCUGGCCAGUGGCCACCAGGCUCCCAGAGCUGGAAUUCAAAGCCAUGGAUGGAGAGCCAAACUCUGCGUGUGCUUCGCCUAUUAGGCUAAUUAUGCUUAAAAACUACACAAAUGGGCAAGGAUCAGCAUGAUGUCUGAAGAAAGACAGAAGGAAUUGAGAAGUGCUACAGAUGAACAGGUUCAGCCCCUACAUUUUGCAGUAGGGCUGCAAAGCAAGACAUGA